UACGUAGGGGGCAAGCGUUGUCCGGAAUUAUUGGGCGUAAAGCGCGCGCAGGCGGUCUUUUAAGUCUGGUGUUUAAGCCCGGGGCUCAACCCCGGUACGCAUCGGAAACUGGAAGACUUGAGUGUAGGAGAGGAAAGUGGAAUUCCACGUGUAGCGGUGAAAUGCGUAGAUAUCUGGAGGAAUACCGGUGGCGAAGGCGGCGAUCCUAGGACCAACACUGACGCUGAGGCGCGAAAGCUAGGGGAGCAAACGGG
rnacentral:rRNA from 1 species